rnacentral:lncRNA from 1 species
GUAGUAUAUUGGUAUAGGUGUGAAUGUUCACUAUAGCAAAAAUGGUAUAUAGCAGCACUUUUAAAUAUCGGUACAGGUCAAAAAAUGUGCUGCUGGCUAAAUUACCGAUACUUUUUAAAAAUGUUGUUAUAUGUAGGGCGCUAUAUGUAGGGUCGUCUUGAUGUUUGGCACCCAUUCGUACAACGGCCUGUGGCGGAGCGACACGUGGCGAUCAUAGCCCUCUACGGUCCCUGCGAAAUCCUCGCGACCGAACUCCAGCCACCAGAAGCCUACCUCAUUGGUUGCGGUGGCGGAGGAGGAGAAGGGAGAUGAUGAUCAAUUUUUUUUUUUCUUUUCUAUUUGUAAUCGGGCCGAGUGGGCUAGGUGGGGUUGGUUGAAUAGAGUAACUUUUUAUUUUUGAUUGGACUGGGCUUCAUAUUUAGUGCUUAUUAGAUUUUUUAAAAAAUUUUUAAUAUAAAUAGGACACAUUUAUAAAAAUAUUUUAAAAAUAUGUUCUUAUAAUCUAAUUCUAUUGUAGUGGUUUACUUUUUAGUAGAGGCUAAAACUCUCAAUAUUCCAAUCCUCUUCAU